rnacentral:rRNA from 1 species
UACGUAGGGUGCAAGCGUUAUCCGGAAUUAUUGGGCGUAAAAGAGCUCGUAGGCGGUUUUGUCGCGUCUGCUGUGAAAAACUGGAGGCUCAACCUCCAGCCUGCAGUGGGUACGGGCAAACUAGAGUGCGGUAGGGGGAGAUUGGAAUUCCUGGUGUAGCGGUGGAAUGCGCAGAUAUCAGGAGGAACACCGAUGGCGAAGGCAGAUCUCUG